AUUACUUCCACCUGUCCAACCAAUCCCCGAUCUGCGAUUACUUCCAGGAAGGUAGGCCUCUAGAGGGAGAGUUGUCUCUGGGAAAAAGCCUCCCCCUACAGGGUGACUCCAGGAAGGUAGGCCUCUAGAGGGAGAGUUGUCUCUGGGAAAAAGCCUCCCCCUACAGGGUGACUCCAGGAAGGUAGGCCUCUAGAGGGAGAGUUGUCUCUGGGAAAAAGCCUCCCCCUACAGGGUGACUCCAGGAAGGUAGGCCUCUAGAGGGAGAGUUGUCUCUGGGAAAAAGCCUCCCCCUACAGGGUGACUCCAGGACUGUUCAUGCCUCAAUUCCAUUUCAAUUCAGGAAGUACUCUGUAACUCCACUUCAAAUCAAGGCUUUUCAAUGAAGAAAAAUGUAGAAUUGGAUGUAGAAUUUAAAAGGACUUGAUCCCGAACCUGGUCUGUGUCCAAAAUGUCAGUCUGUUCCCUACAUAGUGCACUACUUUUGACUAGACUUGUCCGGGGCCCAUAAGGCUGUUGUCAAAAGUAGGGGCACUAUGUAGGGGAUAGGGUGCCAUUUGGGAGGGAACAUGUGUUGUAGUUGGGGGAGGGGUUUGUUUAUGUCAGUCAUGUGACUGUUGGGGGAGGGGUUUGUUUAUGUCAGUCAUGUGACUGUUGUUACUUUACUGUAUAUACCUUUGAUUCAUUAGCACUUAAGAGAUGUCGUGUUUUUUUUUGUAUUUUGUUUUGCAUUGUAAUAUUUGUAACAAUGAAAGUAAUAAUAAUAAACAUUUGUUGUUUUUAAAA